AACACAUUGAAGAGCUAAUGAGGACAGACUGCAUAAAGGAGUGGAGCGAGCAGUGUGUUCAUUGGAAAUGCCACCAAGGGUCAGUCCCCUUAAGGAUGCCCAACAGAAUGUCCGAUUAGAUGUGAAAUACAUCAAUGCAGUGAAAGGCGCCUGUGACAAGAGACUCCAACCCUGAUGGUCCCAUUUGAG